CGCGUAGGCGGUUCGGUAAGUUGCUGGUGAAAUCCCGGGGCUCAACUCCGGGGCUGCCGGCACGACUGCCGGACUUGAGCACGGUAGGGGCAGAUGGAAUUCCCGGUGUAGCGGUGGAAUGCGUAGAGAUCGGGAAGAAUACCAGUGGCGAAGGCGAGUCUCUGGGCUGAUACCGACGCUGAAGCGCGAAAGCCAGGGGAGCAAACG
rnacentral:rRNA from 1 species